rnacentral:lncRNA from 1 species
CAAAACACUAAAAAGAAAGAAUCUGCUCUCUGAAAAAAAAAAGAAUCUGCUCAAAUUUGAAUUUUGUGGGUAAAAGUUUUAACAGAUGAACAACAAAAUAGACAAAAGAAAAUACAAAAAUAAUUAUAAAAAACUGCAAGAAGAAAAAGAAAAGACAAAGAUUAUAUAUUAAAGAAUUAUUUUUUCAUAUUUCACCUGUCAUAAGUGAUGCCUACAUUUGCAUGCCUCUUCUGCUCCCACCUCAAUCAUUAGUUUCUAGCUUUCUGUUGUAGCCCGCUUCUUUUAAGUUGCUUAACCGGUCCAGACCGAAUAGCUUUACUCAGUCGGUUUGUAUAUUCCUUAAAACCUAAAUUUUUAGAAUUAGCAACCACGGAUUUAUCUACAUAUCAGCUCUGAGUUUAUAUUUGGCUAUGCUUUGAAUUUGUUUAAUGAAAUAGAGCAACUAAUCGUAAAUAGUUUCGAUCAAUUUCAACUCAAUACGUUUCCAGUGAUCAUCUUAUUAUCCUAAGCACUCCUAUGUCCAAAGUCAUUAGCAUGUGAUCAAAAUAUAUAUAAAAAAUACAUGAAAGUUCAAUUAAUUUGGAUACAUUGGUCAUACAUUCAUGAUUGAAGAGACUCACUUGUUCUAAGAAUACAUGACUAGUUGAUAGUUAGUCAUCUUCGUCACAUGUACACCGAUGAUGAAGGUGACAUUCACAUGGACAUGAAUAUAUUGAUAUGUGUAUGACCACAAACCACUCUUUAUAGAUUCUCUUCAUUUUGAGGCCACUUGAUCUCACAUCAAAUUAUUUUGCCUCACCAUAACCAAACAAAAGAAGACCAUGUUAUUGAAAACAACUGCACUCUAUAAUCUAUAUAUAUACACAUACACCCAUAUUAUGUUAAUAACUCCAUCACCCUAUCCAAUCUUCACAUUCUGCCAACCCCCUCAACAUGUGCCACCAUCGCUCCUUUGGUCCAUCCCUCUCAA